UACGUAGGGGGCAAGCGUUGUCCGGAUUUAUUGGGCGUAAAGAGCUCGUAGGCGGCUUGUUACGUCGUUCGUGAAAACUUGGGGCUCAACCCCAAGCUUGCGGUCGAUACGGGCAGGCUAGAGUUCGGUAGGGGAGACUGGAAUUCCUGGUGUAGCGGUGAAAUGCGCAGAUAUCAGGAGGAACACCGGUGGCGAAGGCGGGUCUCUGGGCCGAUACUGACGCUGAGGAGCGAAAGCGUGGGGAGCGAACAGG
rnacentral:rRNA from 1 species